rnacentral:lncRNA from 1 species
AUGUUUCUUUUUCAGAGUCCUUAUAGGACCGUUCUUCGAGACAAUGCAAUACCAACAAUAUUUGAUCUUACCAGUCAUUUGAACAAUCCGCAUAGUAGACACAGAAAACGAAUAAAAGAAUUGAGUGAAGAUGAAAUCAGGACACUGAAACAGAAAAAAAGUAAGUGAUAAUGUUAAUGACUCGGCUUCUGAAUGCCUUUUAAAAAGGCCUUGAUCUGUUGAUGAAAAUUCUGAACAGGAACAGAAGCAUAAAGAAACAAACAAUAGCAAUGCUCAGAAUCCCAGUGCCGAAGUUCAGGGGGAUGAACAGGAUGAAGACAUUUUACCUUUAACCCUUGAAGAGAAGGAAAACAAAGAAUACUUAAAGUCUCUAUUUGAAAUUUUGAUUCUUAUGGGAAAACAAAACAUACCUCUGGAUGGGCAUGAGACCGACG